GUGACUCACAAGCAGUGCCAAUAAAGGUGGACUCGGAGUUCACGGUCUUGCAGCUUGCAGCAGUGCUUUUCUGAAGCCAACAUCGUCCCAGGCUUUCUGGACCCAGGUUGCAGCGGGUGGAACGCACCAGAUCAAGGCUCCUCUGUACUUGUUCCCAAGACCUACCCUGGAUGAGCCAGUCGUUGAGAUACUGGAAGACCUGGACCCCUCGACAUCUCAGGAACCUCCUCCACCUGUGACCAGGCCGAACAGUAAGGACGAAGACGUUUGAGGAAAGAGCAGGGUGAAUCCUGGGAGGGGACAUUGCUCUCAACUGCACCCUCAAAACCAGUGCUUCU